rnacentral:snRNA from 1 species
GGAUGUGAAGGCCACCCGACUGUGACACCUGUAACUCCACUGGUUGCAGAGGUUCGUUUGGUUGGUCAGCUGGCCGACUCUUCUUUUUUUCCCUCCUCUCUCUCCGUGUGUGUUCGUGUGGUCAAACCAGCACGGUCGGCUGAGGAAGGCAGCCUUCCCCAAGAGAGAUUUUCUUCACUCAGGGGUAUCUGAGUUGUGGUGUUUCUCUGGUAGACCCUCCAAAGAAGUUCUCAAGACAGACCUUUCAAAGGCUGGUCCCCAAUGACCUACUUCCUCCACCUGGGU